UCAGCUCCUGCCAGCACCUUCUUGCAUUUUUACUCCUUUAACAGCAACAACUUGGUUUUCUCCUGCCGGCGGUGGACAUAGCGAGAUUUACAGAAACUUUGCAUUUAGACUGACAUGUCCACGUGUUGUACCAGAAGUGAUCCAAUUGCAAAGGACAAUCAGCGGCCAGCAGCUGUUUGACGCAUGCAGGGAGCCUCCACCAGCAGAGUCCGCACCGGGUACAAGUCCAGGGCGGGUUUUUUCUUUCUUUCCUCCAAUGUUGACAUUUGUAUUUGUAGCAGUUAUUUCUUGGAGAAGUGUUGGUGCUCACUAUUAGCGUCACUAGCAUGCACACUUAAGCGCAGAUCACCUGAACGAAGGUGGGCAGACCGCAGACUUUGUCUUGCACCUGUUUGUUUGUUUGCUUGCUGCAGGCAGGAAGAGACCGCCUUUUAUAUAGCCCCUGCAUCCAGAAGUCUGGUGUGUGUUGAAGGAUUACAAGGUAAUUUUUAGAUUUCUAUUUGAGAAAUCUGCAUUUAUUCCAACACAAAUACAUAAUUCUGCAUUAUUACUUUUAUUAUCUUGCAUGUUAAAGCUGAAUAUUGUUGCGAUCCAAGCUAUUUACUUUAGGCCUAUUUAUACGAGGUAAAUGGGUAGCAUACAAUUUAGUAAUUUUACGUGCAUAUGUCUAAUUUGUAGCAAAUGUUAUGGAUAUCCAAAUUAUUUUAUUAAAUGAUACUGUAUUGAUAAGUUAAAUCUAUUUUUUGUUACUGAACAAAAUAUUAAAUGUCUAAAAAGAAACAAGGGAGGAUUGAUCGAAGCUGGAUAUUAAAAACUAUUUGUAUUUUCCCUAUAAAUGGAAAUAAAGUGCCG